GAUAAACGCUGGCGGCGCACAUAAGACAUGCAAGUUGAACGGACUUAAUCGAAAUAUUUAUAUUUUGAAGCGGUUAGUGGCGGACUGGUGAGUAACGCGUAAGGAACCUGCCUAUUAGAGGGGAAUAACAGUGAGAAAUCAUUGCUAAUACCGCAUAUGCCAUAGAUAUCACAUGAUAACAGUGGGAAAGGAGCAAUCCGCUAAUAGAUGGCCUUGCGUCUGAUUAGAUAGUUGGUGGGGUAACGGCCUACCAAGUCGACGAUCAGUAGCCGGACUGAGAGGUUGAACGGCCACAUUGGGACUGAGAUACGGCCCAGACUCCUACGGGAGGCAGCAGUCGCGAAUAUUGCGCAAUGGAGGAAACUCUGACGCAGUGACGCCGCGUAUAGGAAGAAGGUUUUCGGAUUGUAAACUAUUGUCGUUAGGGAAGAGAAAGGACAGUACCUAAGGAGGAAGCUCCGGCUAACUACGUG
rnacentral:rRNA from 1 species